ACCUGGGUGGCUCAGUCAGUUGAGUGUCUGACUUCAGCUCAGGUCAUGAUCUCACUGCUCAUGGGUUUGAGCCCCAUGUCAGGCU
rnacentral:tRNA from 1 species